GCGGUCGUGGCGGAAUGGUAGACGCGCAGCGUUGAGGUCGCUGUGGGAGAGAUCCUGUGGAAGUUCGAGUCUUCUCGACCGCACCA
rnacentral:tRNA from 1 species